rnacentral:lncRNA from 1 species
UAUAGCCCACAUGCACUACCUUGACAUGGCUGUCAUACUCGAUGGAGAACGGUUAACCAUGGUAUACCAAGGACUGACCUAUCAGGCGAUCCUUAUCCCAAGAUGUUCGCACGACCCACCCGCACAUAAAGCCGCAGCCUUUAGCUAUUAUUUUAAAAGAGCCUACACAUACAUAUCUGAUAAUCAGCUGCUCCUAGAAGAACUCGGUUACAUUUAUAAUAUAGACCGCUCCCAUGGAUGCACGAACACAUCUAUAGGUGGGGUCCACCGUAGGGUGGGGAGGGACCUCCCCAGCGGGAACUGCCCC